UCCUGGCGGUAGCGAUUGCCAUUUCUUUGAAAAUAUUCUUACAUCUGAGCUGCUCGGAACGAUCAAAUUCAAAACUCAUUCGCUAUAAUGCCGGCCCGGAUUUAUUCUUUCCUUGUGACGCAGCACACUCCAAUUCUCGUUGUCUCCCAGCUCACACAAGACUAGAAGAAUAUAGCGGGCCACACGCUGGAGCCAUGGUAGUUUCCACUCCGAAUAUACCAUAUUCGUCAUCUAAAAGCCCCAGCCCCAGCGCCUCUCUUCUCUCCCUGGUUUUGCUUUCUCAGUGCUGUCGCUGCUUUCUUUUUAUCCCAAGUUUUGCUUUCUCAGUGCGCUGGUUUCCUUUAGCUUUUCUCCCCCUAUCUGGCUGGCCGAAUUCCAUGCCCUUGGGCGUCCCAUCGCACCACUAGAGACUACCUGUAGCGCCUUUCGAGCUCCCUCCAUUCGCUGCAUUGUCAAAGAUUGGAUCGAAGAGUGAUCACCCAAGAACAUGGCAGAACGCCGCCGCACGUGAAAAAAAUAUUUUAUGGUCCGUAAGGCCGUAAGGUAUAGGUCCGUAAGGUACGUGGAGGUAGAGAUUUUGUAGCUUUCAUUGGAGAGAUGAGAUCAUCCCUCAAAGAAAAUCAGUCUGGCUGGGAGCACAAGAACAAGAGAAGUAGGAGCCAAGGCAGCCAACCAAAACGGCCAAGGCAGCUUGAUGUGAGGUUUCGCUACCGCUUCUACCUGUGAAUUCUUUCCUCAUGUUGGAAUAGAACUUGAGAUUCCUCUUC